rnacentral:rRNA from 1 species
AUUGAACGCUGGCGGCAGGCCUAACACAUGCAAGUCGAGCGCGCGGCGGGCGGGUGAGUUAUGUCUGAGAAACUGCGUGAUGGAGGGAGAUAACUACUGGAAACGGUAGCUAAUACCGCAUACCCUCAGAUGUGCCGAGAUGGGAUUCGCUAGUGGGGGGGGUAAUGGCUCACAUCGGCGACGAACCCUAGCUGGGCUGAGAGGAUGAACAGCCACACUGGAACUGAGACACGGUCCAGACUCCUACGGGAGGAAGCAGUGGGGAAUAUUGCACAAUGGGCGCAAGCCUGAUGCAGCCAUGCCGCGUGUGUGAAGAAGGCCUUCGGGGUGUAAAGCACUUUCAGCGAGGAGGCGUUACCCGCAGAAGAAGCACCGGCUAACUCCGUGCCAGCAGCCGCGGUAAUAC